AUCCUUUUGGAAACCAACAAGACGUGGGUACAGAUACAUACUUUAAAUUACUUUUCUUUCAAAUAAGAGAAGAUUUCAUUUUCAACCUUAAUUUACUUAAAUAAACCUUAUCUUUCAUUAGGAUCCUUCUUAAACAGAGCUUGAAGUAAAGUGUGCUGCAAUGUAAGAGGUGAUUCGAGUCAUCAAUUGGUUAGAACCCAAUACAACAGCUUGAAGGAGAAUCGACUUACACUUGUUCUUUUAAUUCCUCUUGACCACCCUUGUCUCUCUUCUUCAUUGGAUUGAGAAGACUUGAAAUUAAAGAAAAAGAAAAGGAGGAUGAGACGGCAGUAGAACAUGCCAUCAAAUGAGUUGCAUCAAGACCUCGUGCGUACCGGUAUUAAUUAGAGAAGGUAGCAAAAGAAUAUUUUUAGAAUUUGCCCUUGUUGGGUAUAACUCACUGGGCUGUGAGAAUUUGAUUGUCAAAGGAAAGAUCCAUGGUCGAGCGUUGCUCUUUAGGCACCGGCUAUAUCGUGAAUCAAGUGACCAUGUUGGAUUUAAGGAUCCUGGUUGACUUUCGCUCUCUAAGCGCCAGUCCUAUUGGAAUAAGAGAGCCGAAAGACUCCUAGUAGUGGGGUUACAAUUAUGAUGAAGUAUUCGUCCCUUAUGAAUACAAAAAAUCAUUUAUUUAUAAAUUA